rnacentral:rRNA from 1 species
AGUGAACGCUGGCGGUAGGCCUAACACAUGCAAGUCGAACGGCAGCACAGUAAGAGCUUGCUCUUACGGGUGGCGAGUGGCGGACGGGUGAGGAAUACAUCGGAAUCUACUUUUUCGUGGGGGAUAACGUAGGGAAACUUACGCUAAUACCGCAUACGACCUACGGGUGAAAGCAGUGGAUCUUCGGACCUUGCGCGAUUGAAUGAGCCGAGGUCGGAUUAGCUAGUUGGCGGGGUAAAGGCCCACCAAGGCGACGAUCCGUAGCUGGUCUGAGAGGAUGAUCGGCCACACUGGAACUGAGACGCGGUCCAGACGCCUACGGGAGGCAGCAGUGGGGAAUAUUGGACAAUGGGCGCAAGCCUGAUCCAGCCAUACCGCGUGGGUGAAGAAGGCCUUCGGGUUGUAAAGCCCUUUUGUUGGGAAAGAAAAGCAGCAGGUUAAUACCCCGCUGUUCUGACGGUACCCAAAGAAUAAGCACCGGCUAACUUCGUG